rnacentral:lncRNA from 1 species
AGUUUCAGAAACUGAAGUUAUCAAAGAUAAAGCCAAACUAACCCCUGAGAAGAAAGGUUUAAUUUACUGUUGAGAAACAUUUUACACAAGCUCUGACUAUUAAAAAAUUAAAACCUCUAAAUAUUGUAUAUCAUUCAUAUACUUUUCAGAGGCUGAAGUCAUCAAGGAGAAAGUUAGACCAGCUUCUGUAAAGAAAGAAGCGGAAGUAAUCAAAGAAAAAGCUAAAGCAGCCCCUGAGAAAAAAGGUAGGAUUUUUUUGUGUUGAGAAUCAAAUGAACACUUUUCACAAGAAAAUUAUAAAGAUAAUAAAUCUUUUAAAUCUUCAAAAUAUUUGACAUCAUUGCCAUUUUAGAGGCUAAAGUCAUCAAGGAGAAAGCUAAACCAGCCCCUGAGAAGAAAGAGGCUGAAAUCAAGAAAGAGAAAGCUAAACCAGCCCCUGAAAAGAAAGGUAGGGAUGUGAACGACAUUUUCUUGCAUUGCUGA